rnacentral:rRNA from 1 species
CGUACACUCCUACGGGAGGCAGCAGUGGGGAAUAUUGCACAAUGGGGGAAACCCUGAUGCAGCCACGCCGCGUGAGUGAUGAAGGUUUUCGGAUCGUAAAGCUCUGUCUUUGGGGAAGAUAAUGACGGUACCCAAGGAGGAAGCCACGGCUAACUACGUGCCAGCAGCCGCGGUAAUACGUAGGUGGCGAGCGUUAUCCGGAUUUACUGGGCGUAAAGGGAGCGUAGGCGGAUGAUUAAGUGGGAUGUGAAAUACCCGGGCUCAACUUGGGUGCUGCAUUCCAAACUGGUUAUCUAGAGUGCAGGAGAGGAGAGUGGAAUUCCUAGUGUAGCGGUGAAAUGCGUAGAGAUUAGGAAGAACACCAGUGGCGAAGGCGACUCUCUGGACUGUAACUGACGCUGAGGCUCGAAAGCGUGGGGAUCAAACAGGAUUAGAUACCCGGGUAGUCCCA